rnacentral:rRNA from 1 species
UACAGAGGGUGCGAGCGUUAAUCGGAAUUACUGGGCGUAAAGGGCGCGUAGGCGGUGAGAUGAGUGUGAUGUGAAAGCCCCGGGCUUAACCCGUGGGAAGUGCAUCGCAAACGAUCUGACUGGAGUAUAGGAGAGGGUGGCGGAAUUUCCGGUGUAGCGGUGAAAUGCGUAGAUAUCGGAAGGAACGUCGAUGGCGAAGGCAGCCACCUGGCCUAAUACUGACGCUGAGGCGCGAAAGCGUGGGGAGCGAACAGG